GCCUCAGUGGCGUAGUGGCUAGAGCACGCGUCCCCGCAUAGGAUGAAACGCAGGUUCGAUUCCCGCCUCAGGCC